rnacentral:rRNA from 1 species
GAAGGUAGCCCCCGCGUGGCGAUGGUAGUCCACGUCCAAGGGUGUAGGGAGUGAGAUGGGCAAAUCCGCCUCACACAUAUCCUGAGACCUGAUAGUGACCGCGAAUGCGGGAAGCAGGGUGAUCCUAUGCUGCCAAGAAAAUCUUCUAGCGAGGUUCGAGCCGCCCGUACCCCAAACCGACUCAGGUGGUUAGGUAGAGAAUACCAAGGCGAUCGAGUGAAUCGUGGUUAAGGAAUUCGGCAAAAUGCCCCCGUAACUUCGGGAGAAGGGGGGCCCAGACUCUGAAGUCACUUGCUGACUAGGGGAAAGGGCCGCAGAGACCAGGGAGAAGCGACUGUUUACUAAAAACACAGGUCCGUGCGAAGUCGCAAGACGAUGUAUACGGACUGACGCCUGCCCGGUGCUGGAAGGUUAAGAGGACGGGUUAGAUCUUCGGGUCGAAGCUCAGAAUUUAAGCCCCAGUAAACGGCGGUGGUAACUAUAACCAUCCUAAGGUAGCGAAAUUCCUUGUCGGGUAAGUUCCGACCUGCACGAAUGGCGUAACGACUUCUCCACUGUCUCAACCGCGAACUCGGCGAAAUUGCACUACGAGUAAAGAUGCUCGUUACGCGCAGCAGGACGGAAAGACCCCGGGACCUUCACUAUAGCUUGGUAUUGGUGUUCGGGACGGCUUGUGUAGGAUAGGUGGGAGACUUUGAAGCCGGCACGCCAGUGUCGGUGGAGUCAACGUUGAAAUACCACUCUGGUCGUUCUGGAUGUCUAACCUCGGUCCGUGAUCCGGAUCAGGGACAGUGCCUGGUGGGUAGUUUAACUGGGGCGGUUGCCUCCUAAAAGGUAACGGAGGCGCUCAAAGGUUCCCUCAGCCUGGUUGGCAAUCAGGUGUCGAGUGUAAGUGCACAAGGGAGCUUGACUGCGAGAGAGACAUCUCGAGCAGGGACGAAAGUCGGAACUAGUGACCCGGCGGUGGCUUGUGGAAGCGCCGUCGCUCAACGGAUAAAAGGUACCCCGGGGAUAACAGGCUGAUCUUGCCCAAGAGUCCAUAUCGACGGCAUGGUUUGGCACCUCGAUGUCGGCUCGUCGCAUCCUGGGGGUGGAGUCGCUCCCAAGGGUUGGGCUGUUCGCCCAUUAAAGCGGUACGCGAGCUGGGUUUAGAACGUCGUGAGACAGUUCGGUCCCUAUCCGCUGCGCGCGUAGGAAACUUGAGAAAGGCUGACCCUAGUACGAGAGGACCGGGUUGGACGAACCUCUGGUGUGUCAGUUGUUCUGCCAAGAGCACCGCUGAUUAGCUACGUUCGGAAGUGAUAACCGCUGAAAGCAUCUAAGCGGGAAGCACGUUUCAAGAUGAGGUUUCCAUGGGGCUUGCCCCGAGAGGCUCCCGGCUAGACUACCGGGUUGAUAGGCCAGACGUGGAAGUGCAGUAAUGCAUGUAGCUGACUGGUACUAAUAAGCCGAUAACUUGAU